CACGGGGGGAACGCGAAGAACCUUACCUGCCCUUGACAUCCGGAUGACCGGUGGGUAAUGCCACCCUCUCUUCGGAGCAUCCGAGACAGGUGGUGCAUGGUUGUCGUCAGCUCGUGUCGUGAGAUGUUGGGUUAAGUCCCGCAACGAGCGCAACCCCUAUCUUCAGUAGCCAGCGAUUUGGCCGGGCACUCUGGAGAGACUGCCAGGGAUAACCUGGAGGAAGGUGGGGAUGACGUCAAAUCAUCAUGCCCCUUAUGGGCAGGGCUACACACGUGCUACAAUGGCGUAAACAAAGGGAGGCAGAGCCGCGAGGCCGAGCAAAUCCCAAAAAUAACGACUCAGUUCGGAUUGUAGUCUGCAACUCGACUACAUGAAGCUGGAAUCGCUAGUAAUCGCGAAUCAGAAUGUCGCGGUGAAUACGUUCCCGGGUCUUGUACACACCG
rnacentral:rRNA from 1 species